AUGAGGACCUCCAGGUAUCUCCUGAGCAGAACGCAAAGCCUUUUUCAUAUUGUCGUAUUCCUCCGGAGGAGUGUCCUCAGACUAAGACAAGUGGGGAUUGUGGUAUGUUUGCCAUCAAACAUAUCGAACAUUUGGUUGCCAGGCUACCACUCGAUAACGUUAUCGAUGAGAACAUCCAGCAUUUCAGGACCAGUGUGGACCUAUUCUAUCAGAAUUUGUCCUCGUGAUGCUCUUUACAUUUUCUUCAUACACAUCUUGUAUAGUAUAGCAUAUAGUUAGUUUUGUAUAUUAUUUUUUAUCAAACAAUAUUUUUUGAAAAAGUUAUUAAAUAAAAAAGUACUAAAUUCACAUAA